GUGAUCGGCCGAAGCAUGUUCCUAGCGGACAAUGUAAUUAAAUAAACAAAUGAAAGAAAACUAAAUAAGGUAGAAGAAAAUUCUAAAUCAUGCUCAUUCCUUUCUCAACUUCUCGUUUUUAUUAUUAGACCGAGCCCAAUAACUAAAGCAUGGAGACAAAUAAUUGCUAAUGGGUUUCGGCCUUCCCCCAUUCCCACGGUCCCAAUAUCCAUAAUUCAAUCAAACUCACAGUCAAACAACAGUAAUUAACAAGACAAAUCAUCUAACAUAAAGUAUUGAGCAUUCAUAGAUAAUAUGAACUAAACAAAACUAAAAUAAUAGUUACUACGAGUUAAAGAAAUGCAAAUUAUAUCCAUUUGGAAGAGCCAUUCAAAGAUUGCUAACCCGCCCAGAACUUUCAUGAGACUAAACAAAUCCAUUUUAAAUAUUGUUCACGUAAUACUCAUUCAGAAGUUAACUAGAACAAACAUUAGGCAAGUUAAAUGUCACUGUUCCAUAUGUUUCCAUCUUCCAAUAAUAGUUUUUAACAGAAAAUUCAAGAGACGUUAAGUAAAUGGUAGGGUAUGAUGAGGGCUUAAACUAAAUAACAAAGUAAGACACUUCACGUAGGGUCAUCAGCAACAUCAACAGAUAGUUGUAUUCAAUCCAGAACAGCACUGAACACAUACAUAGCUGCAAAAGCUUGCUUUACAUAUCAUUUGUCUAUGUCUAAAAUGAGAAUAUCAUGGCAAGUAGCUUAAAUCUUAACGGAACUUUAUGAGAUAGGUCCAAGGUAACAGAACUUUGCUUAACUUUGAAAGAAUAGUCAUUAUCGACACUAUGUUUGGAACAAUAUUCAAACAAUCAAGCACAACACUCUCUAUGAUAACAUUACGGCAGUAUAAGAUCCAAGCAAAUUGAAACACAAUCCAUUUCCAAAAUACGAACAAGCUACUGAAAGAGACUAACAAUUACAAUGGCACAGAUUAAAUCGAAACGGGAUUAACAAACCCCUGCUAACAUAACUCUGUAUCUAAUAGAUUAAAACAUGAUACCAACAAACUGGUCCUAAAAUGGCUCUUCCGGCUAAAUUUGCAAUGAAAACUAAGAUAGAUGGGAUAGUGGGAAUGAACCUGAGAAUGCGAGUUCCUUCUUAAUAGCGGAUAAUUAAGAGAACCAGCUACAAUGCUCUGAAUCCAAAAUCCGAAUGAGAAAAGCAGCAACUAGAUUGAACAGGAACCGCGAACUCGACUUCGAACGGCAAGACCUGUCAAUCAAACUCCUAAUACCUCAGUUGAAUUCCAGAAGAAGAACAAAACCCUUUCUUUUUGAAUUUUCUGUCCUUUGUAACAAAUUAAGAAAAAUGACAGAACUGAAAUUUUUUGGUAUUUUUUAUAUCUUCUCUAUGGAAUUCAAAGGAAAACAAAAAAGAAAAAUCCAAAAGCUAAGAACAAAGCCUCCUCUCUUUUCGUCAAUUUUCUCCGAAAAAAAAAUAAAACCCCAAAAAAACAAGAAAAACCCCCUAUCUAUGUCCAGACCCCAAAUAUAUAGCUCCCUCUCGAAGCUUCUCCUUCUUCAACAAGAAAUCUCUCCAAAAACCCGAAUUUGCCCUUCAAUAAAUUCCGAAAAUCCCCGGCCCCCAAACGAAAAUCCCCUCUUGUUCUUCUUUCUGGAUGGUUCUAAGACAAAUGGAAGACUAGGAUUUAAAGUUUUCGAAUCCUACGUCUACCAUUAAUCCGAAUUUCAUCCAAGGGAAGCAAGAGCGCGUGGAAAGGGGAAAAAUGGAAUAUCUUCUUCUGACAGAGAUCGUUAUGGUCUUGAUGACGUGGAAGAGAGAAAGGAGAGGAGGGGGGACCAUGAGGGUUCAUUUAUGAUGAGGUUUGGGCUGGGUUAUGGCAGCAGAAGGUAUGAAGGAGAAGAGGGUG
rnacentral:lncRNA from 1 species